ensembl:snRNA U6 U6 spliceosomal RNA
GUGCUCACUUCAGCUGCAUAUAUACUAAUACUGGAAUAAUACAGAGAAGAUUAACAUGGCCCCUGUGCAAGGAUGACACAUAUAUUUGUGAAGCAUUCUGUAUUUUU